GAGCUUGUGGUGCUCCAUUUCUGGCUGGUUGCUGGAGGUUGGCGAGGCAGGUUCAGAUCUGGGCUUUUAGUGCGAUUCAAGUCUACAGGAUUCAGAUUUUAUUUCAGAACGGUUUUGAUAUCUCAGUAAACAUAUAUGUGGGUUAAACUGACAUCUGCAAUAUGGUCUCAGACCCUACCAGUGUGACAAUGUAACCAUUUUCAGGUAACAUGAAGAUUUCCUUAUUACAUGGUAGUUACAUCAUCUCACCAUAUAUUUAAACUGAAUGGAUUGCCAGAUUUGCCUGGAACAGGUUAUCAUAAAGACAGAUAGGAUACUAGAACCCUCGGGAAGGCAGAAAGUGGUCUCUUGCUUAUGCAGUUAUGCUUAUGUAAGUAUU
rnacentral:lncRNA from 1 species